CGUAGGGACCGAGCGUUGUCCGGAUUCAUUGGGCGUAAAGAGCUCGUAGGCGGCCACUCAAGUCGAAUGUGAAACCUCGAGGCUUAACCUCGAGCCUGCAUUCGAUACUGGGCGGUUAGAGUCUGGUAGGGGGAUCUGGAAUUCCUGGUGUAGCGGUGGAAUGCGCAGAUAUCAGGAGGAACACCGGUGGCGAAGGCGGGAUCCUGGGCCAGUACUGACGCUGAGGAGCGAAAGCGUGGGGAGCAAACAGGAUUAGAUACUCUGGUAGUCCACGCCGUAAACGAUGGGCGCUAGGUGUGGGAGGUCAUCGACUCCUUCCGUGCCGCAGCUAACGCAUUAAGCGCCCCGCCUGGGGAGUACGGCCGCAAGGCUA
rnacentral:rRNA from 1 species